UCUUCAUUUAACAACCGUUAGAAAAUGUCAUUUGAAAAACACAGGCAAUCAUCAUGCUUAUUUUAAGGUCCAUAAUACCCAACCGCUGGCCGGUAUGAUUGUAUCACCCGAACAAGGUGUGGUGCCCGUUGGUGGUACUGCUGAAAUUGAGGUUGCAUUCACUCCAGAUUUGGUGCAAAAAUUCGACUCUGUGAUCGAAGUGAAUAUCUUGGGA